rnacentral:rRNA from 1 species
CGCGCAGGCGGUCGUGUAAGUCGAAUGUGAAAGCCCCCGGCUCAACUGGGGAGGGUCAUUCGAUACUGCUCGACUCGAAGGCAGGAGAGGGAAGCGGAAUUCCCGGUGUAGUGGUGAAAUGCGUAGAUAUCGGGAGGAACACCAGUGGCGAAGGCGGCUUUCUGGCCUGUUCUUGACGCUGAGGCGCGAAAGCUAGGGGAGCAAACG